GCGGACGUAGCUCAGCUGGUAGAGCGUCGGCUUCCCAAGCCGAACGGAACCAACGGGCUAGAUUCCGCAACA
rnacentral:tRNA from 1 species